rfam:Branchiostoma floridae genomic scaffold BRAFLscaffold_149, whole genome shotgun sequence.
GUGUGGAUGGUGUUCAGCACCAAGGACAGACGUAUUUACCUGUGUGUGGAUGGUGUUCAGCAACAAUGACAGGCAUGUUUGCCU